CUUGCUAUUAGUCAACUUGUUGCAUUUGCAAAUUUGCGAAUCUUUUUCAACAUUAUUUAGUCUCACUAACAAUUGCAUAUAUUUUGUCCACCAUCCUCACCAAGCUCCACCAAAGGCUUUAUUUGUGUAGGUGUGAGAAAUCGACGAGAUCCGAUACGAAUUGUGUUAUUUCCUUGUUACACUAUUGAGUGAUCAUUGAUCCAUUUUCAACAUCUGGUAAGGUACAUUUGGUCUAGUUCUUUUCAUAUGGAUAGGCUAACUACUUCUUAGAAUCCACUCUUCAUCGAUCAAGAUGAGGACCCAAACAUCUACGUUACCAAGAACCACCUCUUCGGCACACAAAGAGAUUUGCAUCGAUGUGGCUGCCAUAUCUGUUCCAAGCAGUGCCCGCUUGUAUGACUUGUUGUAUUCAUCGUUAUUAUAACGUUGGUCAAGAUUAAUAAGGCUUAGGAGCAUUAUAUUUGAGUGUCAUGAAGGGUACUUGGUGCUUUUACUAUGUUACGCACUUGAUGCCAACUGAAGAUUUAAGACUCGUGAAUAUGCUCAAGGGUAGAAAACUGUGCUACAAAGAAAUGAUGUGAGCUUCAAAAAGGUUGGUGCGCCAUCUAGAAAAUGGAAACAGAAACAUAUUAUAUGCUUUUUGUAUGCCAAUCUGCCUCUAAACCAGCUAGACACACCACUAUAGAGAAUCUGCGCAAAACAGAGCAAGCAGGGAGGCGUGAGGGGGAAACCACAUGACCCUUCCAAGAUGAAUAUUUGAGUGCUCUUGUUUGAAAUUUUUUGUUCACGGGAGCAGGCUGACACCCGUAGUUGUUUGGCAUCAAAUUCAAAAGAUACACAUCCUAAGAUUGAAGCAAUGCUACCUGAACCAAAGGGUUGUACGCCCACCAUUAUUAAUAUUCCAUACUAUUCGUGUUCUUCAGAUCCCAAUAAUUUAUUCGGUCUUGCUUUUGACAUAAAACACAAGUACAGGCAGAGAGAAGACGAGGUCGAACCCCAACACCGGAAGGUAUCUUGGCACAAAACCAUCAUGAGGAGAAGGGGAUGUGUUGCUGUACAUGAGGUGUUAAUAAAGUUUCACAUUCUUUGUUCUGGUAGAUUUGGUGUGUUGGGUUGCCAUGUUUGCUGUAUUUAUUUUCCUUAGAUUGCUCCGGUGUUUUUGGUGCAAAUUGAUCAGGGAGGGCCUAGGAUUUUGUCAAGUUUUUGUCAGGUUAUUCUAUGUAUAGGAUUGCGCUUCUAUGUGUUGUUUCCUUCAAACUGUCAUUGCAACAAAAGAUGAAGGGUGUCUUCGUGAUCAGUAGACCAGUGUGUGAUACCGCCUGUUGUAGUUCUAUUGCUAUGCAUACAUGGGCAAUAAAUGCAAGUAAUAUAGUUUUGAUGAUGUCUGAGUGUAUCUUGUGUAUGUGCAGAUAAGCAGCCCUGUUCAGAAGUGCUUUAUAGAGGUCCUGUAAGCUUUCUAGACAUACAUGUUGUUUCCAGUCUCUCUCGGCUUCCCCAAUCCUAGAGGUAAUAAUAUGAUUUCUUUAUGUUGUUUGCCCAAAUUAAGAAGUGAACUUUUGCUGCAUAUUUGCUCGAUGUGUGUCCUGUAAACUCUAAGCUUUCUAGGCAUACAUGUGCACGUGUAUUUGUUAGUUACUAAUAUGAAUUCUGGAUGUUGUUUGCCGAAAUUCAGAAUUGAACUUUUGCUGUAUAUUUGCUUGCUGCGUGUCCUAUAAACUCUAAGCUUUCUGGGCGUGCAUGUACACGUGUAUUUGUUAGGUAAUAAUAUGAUUUCUUUAUGUUGUUUGCCAAAAUUCAGAACUAAACUUUUGUUGUAUAUUUGCUAGUUGUAUGUGAUGUAAACUGUAAGAUUGUAGGCGUACAUGUAUACAUGUAUUUGUUAAACUAACAACCUUAUGACUGCAAAUACCAUUUAAACAAACAACAGCCCCUUGUUCUAUGGAACACCUAUUUUUAUUACCAAGCAAGCCCUAUUUUUUUUGCGGUUGCAGCCACCUGAUCACUAACCUGAAUGAGUAGACAUUAUUUAUGGAUUUGCUUCCUUUCACGUCUCCACAGAUGCAUUUUUUUUCAAGCAGCCCUAAGGUAGCUUUUAAGAUUGUUCUAAAAAACGGGUACUAUUUUAGAUUAAAGGCCUCAGGGAUAGGCAAAAACUUUAAGAAAUCUCACCCUAGACUUACUACAUCUUUUGCAUAUGAGUGUUUCUUCUGAUUUCAAGGAUUGGGAGGGGAAUGCAUUUUCCAGUGCCUCAAUUUUUGGUUACUUGUGGAGAGUAGAAGAAGAAUUUUGAGGAAGAGUGUGAUUAAGAAGCCCAAGAUCAAUACAUGGUGUUGGUCGUGUGAACAGAGGUUGUUCUUCGGGCCUCUAUAUGAGCUAGCUGUAACCCGCCCCCCCCCCCCCAGGCCAUUUAAACCCCACAUGUCAGAGAUAGCGGUGGGGGGUAUAUGAUCAAGGAUUUGCCAACAAGGGGGGUUAUCGUCAAUUAUCCAGGUAGAAAUCAGUGGUUGUGCUUAAGCUUCUGUUCUUUAUUUAACUUUGAGGCAUAAAUUCAAAUGAUUAGUAUAUGCAUAGCAGUUUAAUGCAAGUGAUAGUUGUGGUAAAGUAGAAUCCAAGAUCGAGGAAGGUGUCGAGGGGAGCACAUCAAAUUCUAUCAAAGUAAUUAUCAACAAUGCUACUCUGAAUUAUAGUGGCAGCUGGUCAAUAUCAUGAACUUUUCCACUAUGAUUUGUUUUAUUAUUAUUAUAUAAUGUGUGGAUCAACUUCACGGGACAAAGAAGCCUAAUGCUCCUCAUGGACGAGGUUGACAGUAUAUAUGAUGGUGGAAUGUGACAAAUGUGACCGGUAAUACUUCGACUGUAUCUCAAAGCUUGUGUAGUGGGAGCAUUUCAGUGUACAUAAUGCUUCAUGGGAUAUGUAAAUUUUUUAUUGUCUGAAAAUAUGAAUGCCCAUGAUCUCUGCUAGAUCUAAUUUUAACCAUCAAUCUGAUAUUUUAUUUGCACAAAGGAUGAAUUUUCCGGCAGCGUGGAGAGCCCUAUAUAUUGAUGACCAGCUGCCUCAGAUUUACUUGUGAGCAAUUCAUAUAUCAUGAUCUACCAUUUUGUUUUCUUCUAGACCAAGAUUGAUUAAUGUUAUUCAUCAUCAGUGUUUCAGUUUCAUUAGUCCUCACAUGAACAUGUUGAUUUCUAAUUUCUCCGCACAUAAAUAUGUAAGACAUAUUUGUACCUUUUCCCUGUAGGUAAGCAGAACAGGGCAGGGCUCACAUUUACUUUCUAACGUAAUGAGUGUGCUAUUACCUGUUGAUACUUGACAUUAGUGAUCAGCUUGAUGCAAGCUUUUGUGUCGAUUACUUUCUGCCUUUUUUGAUAACCAUUAUUAUUUUUAAUUUUUUUCUAUUGUGUUUUUUUUGCUUCCUUUUUCUGUCAAACUCUCAUGUGGUACUAUUUGUCAAGCAUUGAUAUUGUUUUCACGUACAAUUCAUUAUUUUUUGCUCAUUUAAUUAGAUGUUCAAAAAUAUGAUAAAUGUGGGGCCUUGGUGCUAGAUGAGACACUGACUUGUACUACAGGAAGGGAAAGUAAGCGACCGUUAUGAUUCACUUGCACUAUAUAUCCUAAAUCUGUAUAGUUAGUUUCACUUCUGUUUAUAUGCUGGUUAGUUGCACUAUAUGAUAUAGCUAGCUAUGUAGUUUUAUUUAUAAAGUCGGUACAAAUAAGCUACUGCAAGCUUCAUUCGUAGCUUUCUUUUGAUGUAAGUUGAUGCUUUUAGUCCAUCAUGUUUCCCAUUAUCAGGCUUGAUACGCCUGAGCCAGUUAUGUAUAAAGACGCCAUUUAAGUAUCUCCUUGCACUGGUAUGCCUGGACCAUAAUGUUAUCAGGAUCGAUAAAAUAUGCCAUGUAAGUAUAAUGGUUUUAAAUUUUAAUUCUUGGUUUGCUUUGGCUACAUGCACCAGUUGCACAAGCAGCCUCUGUUUUUAUUCCACAUAAAUCCAAGGACAAUGUAUUUUGACCUUCUAUCUUUGUUCAACUGCAAUAUCUCAAAUCGAAAGACACAAAUUAUUUUGAAUGGUAACUAAUUGGAUACAAGCACGAGUGAGCCAAGGGAUCGUUGACUCCCUAGCUGUCUUUCCCGGUUUCACUCACUGCCAGAGCAAGAAUACUAUUUUUGAUGGGGUUUGUUCUGGAAACGGAGACAACAUAUCUCGAUGCAAAAUGCUUCAACCGUCAGGUUUUUAUGUUAGCCAUUAUUAGGUUUACGAAAAAGUACUUCACUACUACCAUGCUUCUAUUCUACAUGUUCUUUUUGCCAUAGGAUGCAUGUGACAUCAUUAGUAUUAAGUAUGAGGUAGGGGUUUUAAGCCUUUAGGUAGAUCUCAAGGUCUCGAGUUUUAUGGAUGGUAGUACCAGCAGAGGGGGGGGGGGGGUCUGAUUGUUGGAAGCUACCAGUAAGAGAGAGCAAACAUUUAUUAGAGAUGCAUGUGUGCUGAUAUUAAUCUGACCAUGUUUACGUAUAUGGGUGGCGUUUUUUUUCUCAUAAAUUUGUCUGUUUGCAAUUUAUCUUUUGCCAAGGCAAAAGAAAUGGUGUGUGUGGGAGAACUAAUAUAUUUUAGAGCAAUGGCUUAAUUGCAGGCAGGAAAAAAGAUUUGGAAUGUAUAGCAAAAUGAAGGACAACAAUAUCGGAACCUGGUCUACAGGAACCAAACACACCUACAUGAAGAGUUGUUUAGACGAUGAAAUCAUGGUCAAUAUUGAUGGAACAUGCAGUGAUGGCUCUACCUAAUAUCACCGCCUUCAUGUCUUUCCUACUGGCAGCAGAUACAAGACUCAGCCAGGGGUUAAGAGGCCAGCUCUAUCUAUAUGAUGCAUCUCUGCUAAAAUAGUUUGCUUUAUAAAGGCAAUGUAAGCUAUCAUCAAGUGAUCUCAUAACUUUCUUUAGCUAUCAUGUUACCAUGUAAUGAAAUAUACUCCGUAUAACGUUGUGUACCUAAAUAUCUAUUAAAUUGGCUCUAAAUCACUCUCA